rnacentral:tRNA from 1 species
GGGUAUAGCUCAGUUGGUUAGAGCGCUUGCUUGACAUGCAAGAGGUCGGUGGUUCGAGUCC